AGUGAACGCUGGCGGUAGGCCUAACACAUGCAAGUCGAACGGCAGCACAGUAAGAGCUUGCUCUUACGGGUGGCGAGUGGCGGACGGGUGAGGAAUACAUCGGAAUCUACUUUUUCGUGGGGGAUAACGUAGGGAAACUUACGCUAAUACCGCAUACGACCUACGGGUGAAAGCAGGGGAUCUUCGGACCUUGCGCGAUUGAAUGAGCCGAUGUCGGAUUAGCUAGUUGGCAGGGUAAAGGCCCACCAAGGCGACGAUCCGUAGCUGGUCUGAGAGGAUGAUCAGCCACACUGGAACUGAGACACGGUCCAGACUCCUACGGGAGGCAGCAGUGGGGAAUAUUGGACAAUGGGCGCAAGCCUGAUCCAGCCAUACCGCGUGGGUGAAGAAGGCCUUCGGGUUGUAAAGCCCUUUUGUUGGGAAAGAAAAGCAGCAGGUUAAUACCCCGCUGUUCUGACGGUACCCAAAGAAUAAGCACGGGCUAACUUCGUG
rnacentral:rRNA from 1 species